CCUACGGGAGGCAGCAGUGAGGAAUAUUGGUCAAUGGCCGGAAGGCUGAACCAGCCAUGCCGCGUGAAGGUCAGUGCCCUAUGGGCGUUAAACUUCUUUUGUGCGGGAGCAAUAAUGGUCACGUGUGGCCAGACGAGAGUACCGUACGAAUAAGCAUCGGCUUACUCCGUGCCAGCAGCCGCGGUAAUUCGGGGGAUGCAAGCGUUAUCCGGAUUUUUUGGGUUUAAAGGGUGCGUAGGCUGUGAGGUUAGUCAACGGUGAAAUGCCCCCGCUCAACGGGGUGAAGUGCCAUUGAUACUGCCUUGCUGGAAUGCGGAUGCCGUAGGAGGAAUGUGUGGUGUAGCGGUGAAAUGCAUAGAUAUCACACAGAACACCGAUUGCGAAGGCAUCUCACGAAUCCGCGAUUGACGCUGAUGCACGAAAGCGUGGGUAUCAAACAGGAUUAGAUACCCUGGUAGUC
rnacentral:rRNA from 1 species